AGCGAACGCUGGCGGCAGGCCUAACACAUGCAAGUCGAACGCCCGGGGCAACCCGGGAGUGGCAGACGGGUGAGUAACACGUGGGAACGUGCCCUUCGGUUCGGAAUAACCCAGGGAAACUUGGGCUAAUACCGGAUACGUCCGCGAGGAGAAAGAUUCAUCGCCGAAGGAUCGGCCCGCGUCCGAUUAGCUAGUUGGUGGGGUAAUGGCCCACCAAGGCGACGAUCGGUAGCUGGUCUGAGAGGAUGAUCAGCCACACUGGGACUGAGACACGGCCCAGACUCCUACGGGAGGCAGCAGUGGGGAAUAUUGGACAAUGGGCGCAAGCCUGAUCCAGCCAUGCCGCGUGGGUGAUGAAGGCCCUAGGGUUGUAAAGCCCUUUCGGCGGGGAAGAUAAUGACGGUACCCGCAGAAGAAGCCCCGGCUAACUUCGUGCCAGCCGCCGCAGUAACAC
rnacentral:rRNA from 1 species